rnacentral:rRNA from 1 species
CAGCCGCCGCGGUAAUACGUAGGUCCCGAGCGUUGUCCGGAUUUAUUGGGCGUAAAGCGAGCGCAGGCGGUUUGAUAAGUCUGAAGUUAAAGGCUGUGGCUCAACCAUAGUUCGCUUUGGAAACUGUCAAACUUGAGUGCAGAAGGGGAGAGUGGAAUUCCAUGUGUAGCGGUGAAAUGCGUAGAUAUAUGGAGGAACACCGGUGGCGAAAGCGGCUCUCUGGUCUGUAACUGACGCUGAGGCUCGAAAGCGUGGGGAGCGAACAGGAUUAGAGACCCCCGUAUCCCUGUCUCUUAUACAC